GAUGAACGCUGGCGGCGUGCUUAACACUUGCAAGUCGAACGAUGAAAGCGGGAGCUUGCUCCUGCUGGAUUAGUGGCGAACGGGUGAGUAACACGUGAGCAAUCCGCCCCGAACUCUGGGAUAAGCGUUGGAAACGACGUCUAAUACCGGAUACGACGCGCGAAGGCAUCUUCUGCGCGUGGAAAGAACUUCGGUUCGGGGUGAGCUCGCGGCCUAUCAGCUAGUUGGUGAGGUAACGGCCCACCAAGGCGACGACGGGUAGCCGGCCUGAGAGGGUGACCGGCCACACUGGGACUGGGACACGGCCCAGACUCCUACGGGAGGCAGCAGUGGGGAAUAUUGCACAAUGGGCGCAAGUCUGAUGCAGCAACGCCGCGUGAGGGACGACGGCCUUCGGGUUGUAAACCUCUUUUAGUAGGGAAGAAGCGAAAGUGACGGUACCUGCAGAAAAAGCACCGGCUAACUACGUGCCAGCAGCCGCCGUAAUAC
rnacentral:rRNA from 1 species